CAUUCCCGGCUACCAAAAAUUAUGCGCCCGAGUUACCCACAUUAGGGGUAAUCGCAGGGGUCAGCUCGAUCGAAGUGCAAUGAAAGAGCCUCACCCGGGAGGAACCGCCUUCGUGAUCACGGUGUCCUCUACGCCAGGUAAGA
rnacentral:snRNA from 1 species